rnacentral:rRNA from 1 species
GAUGAACGCUGGCGGCGUGUCUAAUACAUGCAAGUCGAGCGAACGGACGAGAAGCUUGCUUCUCUGAUGUUAGCGGCGGACGGGUGAGUAACACGUGGAUAACCUACCUAUAAGACUGGGAUAACUUCGGGAAACCGGAGCUAAUACCGGAUAAUAUUUUGAACCGCAUGGUUCAAAAGUGAAAGACGGUCUUGCUGUCACUUAUAGAUGGAUACGCGCUGCAUUAGCUAGUUGGUAAGGUAACGGCUUACCAAGGCAACGAUGCAUAGCCGACCUGAGAGGGUGAUCGGCCACACUGGAACUGAGACACGGUCCAGACUCCUACGGGAGGCAGCAGUAGGGAAUCUUCCGCAAUGGGCGAAAGCCUGACGGAGCAACGCCGCGUGAGUGAUGAAGGUCUUCGGAUCGUAAAACUCUGUUAUUAGGGAAGAACAUAUGUGUAAGUAACUGUGCACAUCUUGACGGUACCUAAUCAGAAAGCCACGGCUAACUACGUG